rnacentral:lncRNA from 10 species
GUCUUUCUGGCCCUAUCUCUCAACAUCUCUAUCUCUGAGUCUGUAACUGUCUCUCUGGUUCUCCUGUCUGAGUAGGUGUUUCUCUCCGCAACCCCGCGUUUGUCUCUGUGUGCUCUGUUCCGUCUCUGUCUCUCUCUUUUGUCUCUUUGUGUCUGUCACCAUCUCUCUGCCUCUCAGUUGCUGUCUGCUUCUCUGUCUCUCAGGAGGCCUUGGCAUCUCUGGGACGGGGUUUGGAAUCUCGGUUCCCACUUACUCGCUGGGUGACCUUGGCCAAACACUUCCCCUCUCUGAGCCGUUUCCUCCUUAGUGGGAGUGAAGAGACGCACCCGGGGCAGGGACUGGCACUCGGCAGGCGGCCAGGAACGAUUCCUCUCCCUCCCCUCUUCCAUCUCUGCCACUCCACGUGCCUCAUCAGCUGUGGGUCUAAAGGGGCUGGGGGUGGGGUGAGGGUGGGGAGCGCUCCACUGAUUGUGUCUCUGCACUCGUUGGGGGCCCUGCCCCCAGCCGGGGCCCGCGGGGCACCGGGGUGGGUGCUCGGAAAAUCCUAGCAGGACUGUAGAGGGGAGAAGAUGUGAUGGGUCCGGUGGGAGCUUCGAAGGGCUGGGAGAGACGGUGCUGCUGGAAGAGAGGGUGCUGAUGGUUCUCUGAGGUUGGAAGAGGGAUAAAAGGGUCAGAAGGAGGAGGAUCUGAAGAAGGAAGAUAGGUCUGAGAGAGAAGUAGAUGGUUUAGUGGGAGGAGGGGGAGAGGAUCUGAAGGAGGAGGACAGGGUCUGUUGGAGGAGGUAAGGGUCUGAUGGAGGAAAUAAGGGUCUGAGGGUGGAGGCGAGGUUUGGAGGGAGGAGGUGAAGGUCUGAGGGAGGAGACAAGGGUCUGAAGGAGGAGAUAAGAGUCUGAGGAAGGAGGCGAGGGUUUGAGAGAGGAGGUGAGGGUCUGAAGGAGGAGGUGAGGGUCUGAAGGUGGAGGUGAGGUUCGGGGGGAGGAGAUGAGGGGCUAAGGGAGGAGGUGAGGGUCUGAGAGAGGAGACGAGGGUCUGAAGGAGGUGGGGGUCUGAGGGAGGAGGUGAGGGUCUGAAGGAGGAGAUAAGCAUCUGAGGAAGGAGGUGAGGGUUUGAGAGAAUAGGUGAGGGUUUGAAGGAGGAGGUAAGGGUCUGAGGGAGGAGGAGAGAGUUGGAGGGGAAAGAAGGGUCUGAGGAAAGAAGAUUUGGAGAGAGUCUGAGGGUAGAGGCCAGAUCUGAGGGAGAAGAAAGAGGCUCAGGGGAAAAGAUCUGAGGGUCCGAGGGUGGAAGGCAUGGACUAGGGGAGGAGGAGCUGGUGGGGUGGAGGGGUGGAGAGGCGUGCCUCCGGAGCCAGCAGGGACCAAGGGGAGGGAAGGGAAGGGAGGCUGGGAGGCAGCCCCGCCCUGCAGCUGUCUCUAAUUUCCCAGAAUCUUCUGCUCUCAGGAAAGUCCCAGCUCCCACAGCAGCCUCCCUCCAAUGUCGGGAACGGAGGAUGCGGAACCAGGAUGGCCACCCCCACCCUCCCCCGGCUCCUUGCACCCCAGGCGGAAAGGACUAGGGUCUCCUUUCUCUGGGCCUUGGCCUCUGGAGGGCCCCCACCCGCAGGGGCAGCCCCUGGAUGAGUCUUAGAAACUUCCCAGAGGAGGCCAGGAAGUUCUGCUUGGUGUCUAACCACUUUCCCCUCAUGCAGGCCGCCCUUUGUACCUGUUCAGAUCUCCUCCCCAGCUGCUGUUUCUUUUUCCCCAACCCAUCCUGGGGGAGGAAAGGCCAGGAAUUUACCUGCUCAAAGUCCUGAGAGGGAAACGAAAUUCCAUCUGGAAGUCUGUAGGCUUGAGGCAGCUUUCUUGCUCUCAGGGGCCUCAAUUUCCCUUUCUAAGAGGAGAGAGUAGGGCUGGUCAGGGCCUAAGUUCCCAUCUGGCUCAAUUACUGGGUCUUGUCCUGCUUUUUUUUUGAGACAAGAUCUGGCUCUGUCUCCCAGGCUGAAGUGCAGUGGUGAGAUCAUAGCUCACUGUAGCCUUGAACUCCUGGACUCAAAUGAUCCUCCUGCCUCAACCUCCCAAGUAGGUGGGACUACAGGCAUGUGCCGCAAUGACUGGCUAAUAAAAAAAACAAUUUGUAGACUCAGGGGGUCUCACUGUGUUGCCCAGGGUGUUCUCGAACUCCUGGGCUCAAGCGAACCUCCCUCCUCGGUCUCCCAAAGUGCUGGGAUUACAGGCGUGAGCCACCGCAUCUGGCUU